AUGCCUCCCUUGGGGAACAGAAAAGAAGAUGAAAAAAAAAAAAAAAGAGAAGAAGAAGAAGUAAGCCAUUAGUCCCUCAAAAAGAAAAAUUGCGAUCUACGAAGAUCCAACAGUCGGAUCUUCAAUCCGUUUUCGGAAACGUGAUCCUUGCACUCGGAUCUACGUUCUUACCGAUUGUUUUAAGGUAUUUGGGCUUAUUGGAACUUACUUGAGGCUACCCAAACUUUGGGUUGAAGUUUGGUGAAUUUGGAUAAGCUUUUCUUCGAGCCUUAAUUUUUGGGUAUUUGAUUUUUGUGGGAUUUUAUGAGAUUAACCCUUAGUAAAUGCCAUUAAGUUAAUGAUAUUGUUAUUGGAGUUAAGUUUGAGGAAACCCUUAUUUGAUGGAUUAAAUUAAUUUGAGGUUUUUAAUUAUUCAAAAUUAGAUUGUUAAGUUGUGGCCUAAUGGUGGUGAUAGUGAUGAUUAACCCCAAAUUAACCAUGGGUGUUGUAAAAAUAAAUAUUUGUAGGGUUAUGUUUUAAUGUUGGUAAUUUGAAUAAAUUGAGUGUUUUAUUUAUAAACCUAGGAAUAUUGUUAAGUAUGAGUUUAAGCAAUUGAUGGGUAAAAUAGUCAUUGAGCAAUUCAAAGUGAAAAUUAGUGUAAUUAUUGGAUGAAAACUAAAUGAAUGCAAUAUGUUAUGUACAAUGGCACUUUGUGGAUUGAGCCUAGGACUUGUUAGUGUUGGUGUGCAAGCAGUCAGGUGAUAUUUUACUCACUGAAAAACUAUUAUUUUUAUGUAUAUUAGAAUUGCAAAAUAUAUGUGUUUUAUAAAUCCAAACCAACUGUAUGUUGAACAUAUCUGUUUUGGUUGAUUUGAGUAGUUUCAAUUAUGUUCAAAUAAUAUCAAUAAUGUUGUGAAAUGAUUUAUGAAUGAAAUGUGUUAAAAUGAUUUAAAAUGUUUGAAUGUGAACUGCGGUUGAGAUUUAAAUUAUGCAAAGUAGAAUGAUAAAAUUACAUGUUGAUUGGUUUAUCGUAUUUGAAGAAAGCAUGAUUUGUAAAUAAUAGAAGUAUAAAGUUUGAAUUGUAAAGCAUAAAGCAUGAGCAUAAAAAUGAAAGGAAGGGUAAGCCUCACAAGGAAUGAAAGGAUAAUCACGAGCAUGCAUAUCAUUGUUUAAAUUGUGUAAUGUUUUCAUGAUAUAAAAUAUUGUAGUUUUUAUGCUAGACGCAUUUGUAUGCCUAAGAGUUUUACUGGCAAAGAACUUAUGUAUACUUCUAUCGUCUAGUUGCAUGAUUUAAGAACAUUGAGCUUGGAGGUGCAAGGGUAUUAUUAUGGUUCGAUAUGAGUAAUACAGUAUCCUGGGAGUAGGUAGAUGGAUUGUCGUGGUACAUCAGUAAGAAAUGUCUGGAUAUCAGAGUUUUACUCUAGUAACCGCAUGGACAACUAUGUGCCUUGACAUGAAGUUGUAAUGCCCUAAGAUUUGGUGUUAACCAUAUUCGGGAAAUGGUAGUAAGCUCGUACUAAAGAGCGAGAUGACAUGUUUUAAGUUUGGUGUACUUUGAUGUGACGCUAUUGGUUGGGAUAUCAGUGUGACUUGGCAGUAGGUAGAUGGAUUGUGUGGUACAUCAGUAAGAAGUGCUUGGAUAUCAGAGUUUUAUUCUAGUAACCGCAUGGACAAUUAUGUGCCAUAGACAUGAAGUUGUAAUGUCCUGAGGUACACCUGACUUAGAGGAGGACCCCGUAGCUGCGUAUUUGGGAUACUACGAUUGAAGCACUUCGCGACAAUCGUAUUGAGUUGGACUAUGGAGUUCACUCUUUUGGGGUAUUUUGUAUAUGGCUAGUGACGUAGGUGUCACAUAUUCUUUUGUGUAGCCAUUCUUUUGUAUUAGUGGGUAAUUAUAAGUCUUAAACAGUUAGACAGAUAUAUGGCUCUUUUGUAUGGACCACAUGUAUUUUUAGAUGUACUUUCUGUUAUAAGUUGUAGUGUUAUGAUUAUUUUGCCAUUAGAUAUUACUCUGAA